rnacentral:rRNA from 1 species
UGGGGAAUUUUGGACAAUGGGGGAAACCCUGAUCCAGCCAUCCCGCGUGUGCGAUGAAGGCCUUCGGGUUGUAAAGCACUUUUGGCAGGAAAGAAACGUCGCGGGUUAAUACCCCGCGAAACUGACGGUACCUGCAGAAUAAGCACCGGCUAACUACGUGCCAGCAGCCGCGGUAAUACGUAGGGUGCAAGCGUUAAUCGGAAUUACUGGGCGUAAAGCGUGCGCAGGCGGUUCGGAAAGAAAGAUGUGAAAUCCCAGAGCUUAACUUUGGAACUGCAUUUUUAACUACCGGGCUAGAGUGUGUCAGAGGGAGGUGGAAUUCCGCGUGUAGCAGUGAAAUGCGUAGAUAUGCGGAGGAACACCGAUGGCGAAGGCAGCCUCCUGGGAUAACACUGACGCUCAUGCACGAAAGCGUGGGGAGCAAACAGGAUUAGAUACCCUGGUAGUCCACGCCCUAAACGAUGUCAACUAGCUGUUGGGGCCUUGGGGCCUUGGUAGCGCAGCUAACGCGUGAAGUUGACCGCCUGGGGAGUACGGUCGCAAGAUUAAACUCAAAGGAAUUGACGGGGUCAUAGCUGUUUCCU